rnacentral:rRNA from 1 species
UACGUAGGGCGCAAGCGUUGUCCGGAAUUAUUGGGCGUAAAGAGCUCGUAGGCGGUCUGUCGCGUCGGCUGUGAAAUCCCGAGGCUCAACCUCGGGUCUGCAGUCGAUACGGGCAAACUAGAGUAUUGCAGGGGAGACUGGAAUUCCUGGUGUAGCGGUGAAAUGCGCAGAUAUCAGGAGGAACACCGGUGGCGAAGGCGGGUCUCUGGGCAAUAACUGACGCUGAGGAGCGAAAGCGUGGGGAGCGAACAGG